rnacentral:tRNA from 1 species
AGCUGGGAGAGCGCCUGCUUUGCACGCAGGAGGUCUGCGGUUCGAUCCCGCAUAGCUCCACCA